rnacentral:piRNA from 1 species
UGCAGAUGAUAGUAUAGAUAAGUGACC